rnacentral:rRNA from 1 species
CAUGCAAGUCGAACGGUAACAUUGGUGCUUGCACCAGAUGACGAGUGGCGCACGGGUGCGUAACGCGUAUGCAAUCUACCUUUUACUAGAGUAUAGCCCAGAGAAAUUUGGAUUAAUCCUCUAUAAUAUCUUUUAAUUUCAUGAUUUUAAGAUUAAAGUUUUAACGGUAAAAGAUGAGCAUGCGUCCUAUUAGUUUGUAGGUGAGGUAACGGCUCACCUAGACUACGAUAGGUAGGGGCCCUGAGAGGGGGAUCCCCCACACUGGUACUGAGACACGGACCAGACUCCUACGGGAGGCAGCAGUAAGGAAUAUUGGACAAUGGACGAAAGUCUGAUCCAGCCAUGCCGCGUGCAGGAUGAAAGCCCUAUGGGUUGUAAACUGCUUUUAUACAGGAAGAAACACUCCGACGUGUCGGAGCUUGACGGUACUGUAAGAAUAAGGAUCGGCUAACUCCGUGCCAGCAGCCGCGGUAAUACGGAGGAUCCAAGCGUUAUCCGGAAUCAUUGGGUUUAAAGGGUCCGCAGGCUGUUUUUUAAGUCAGAGGUGAAAUCCUACAGCUCAACUGUAGAACUGCCUUUGAUACUGAAAAACUUGAGUUAUUGUGAAGUGGUUAGAAUGUGUGGUGUAGCGGUGAAAUGCAUAGAUAUCACACAGAAUACCGAUUGCGAAGGCAGAUCACUAACAAUAUACUGACGCUCAUGGACGAAAGCGUGGGGAGCGAACAGGAUUAGAUACCCUGGUAGUCCACGCCGUAAACGAUGGAUACUAGCUGUUCGUCUAACAUUGGUUAGAUGAGUGGCUAAGCGAA